AGAAGAAAAAAAAAUCUACUCAAAAAAUUACUACAAUAUUUUUAUGCUAUAUUUGACAUUUUCAACUGACUGGUUUCUUGCUAUUUCUUGAUGAAAUUCAAGGACAGUUAUUCUGAUAUUUUUAUGUUAUAUUUGACAUUUUCAACCAGCUGAUUUUGUAAUCUGUUUCUUUUCUAUUUUCUGCAGGUCUGAUGCUCGAGACGGACAAUACUGUAAAAAUGAUUGGAUGUGCUUUGUGAUGGAGUCUGUUCCAUACUGCAUCAUUACAUUUCUUGGUACAUUGAUUUGUCCAUUGUUCAUGGAUCACAUAUAUCGUCGCCAGUUUCCAAACAUCAUAAUAUAUGGAAUUUGUUCAGUACAGCAGCAAGGAUGUACAUAGGGAGCGCAGGAACAUUGCUGCCUUCAUGCAAUCUUUUCAAAUGAAAAGUAGCAAUCAUGACUGUCAAAUACUGCUAACGAGGUUGCAUAUAUAUAUAUACAUUAUAUAUAUAUAAUUACAGCUUUAACUUCAAAGAAGAAUAUCAGGAAGAAUUGAUCCCAAGGACAAUCUGAACUGUUGAAAACUUGUCUGAAAAUUAAAAUGUUAGCUCAGAAAAUAAUUCAGAUUGUUUACCGUCUGUACAUUUGAUAAAGAUAUUAUAUCUAUAUAAUUACAGCUUUAACUUCAAAAAAGAAUCUCAGGAAGAAUAUCAGUGAGUUUUCCAAAGUGAUCUGCAUGGUUUCGAAAGGAAAUAGCCUCUGAUAGCAUGUGGAAUGUUAUCAAAAGUAAAAAACACCACGCAGUGCUUAUUGAGCCCAGUACAUUAGGCAGUUGAUCCAUUUGGCCACGAGGACAUGGUCGUUGAUCAGUCAAUCUAUUGUAACCGGGGAGUCUGUCAGGAUAAUCCAGUGUCUUCCAGGCCUCCAUGAAGUAGUUAAGGACAGUGGAAGAGAUGAUGAUUUCUAACAUAUUCUUAUGCUCAUUUUGAUGUAGUUAAGUGAGGUGAGGUUUUGUGGAUGAUGUACAAAGAAUACCAUUCAGAUUUUGCCAGGGAAUUUGGAUCUCAUUGAAAUAUAAUCAAUGCCUACAAAGGGAUCCAUAAAAUGAUUCUGUGUUCUAUAUCUGAAAAAUAUGAGGCUUGGAUCUUAAUAUAAUUGAUAGAUUAUAGAGAGACCUAUCAUUUUAUUUCAUUUCUCAUGUUUCAUAUAUUAAUCCUAGAAUGUUUUUGUAGUCAUUAUAGAGACAUAGGAAAUUUAUACCUUAUUAUACUCAAUAAAUUAAAGAGGACUUGUCAUCAAAUAUUAUUUUCCAUGUUUUAUAGAGCGAUCAUGGAAUGUUCCACGGGUCAUCGUCAGAUUACAUGAAACUUCAGCCUCAAAAUGAUUGAUAAAUUACAGAGGGUUUGCCAUUAGACAGAUGGACCCCAAACUGACUCUGUCAUUAAAAGAACAGAUGGAAUGAAGAAAGAACUUAUCGGUUGAGGCGUGAUUUCACUGUUCUUAAGAAUAGAUCGCGCCCCUCUGAGAAUGAAUCUCGGUGUAGCAGGUAAUGGCGGCCUA